AUAUGUGAUCCUUCAGAUAAAUGUUACGUAUUGGCACCGCAUUGGGGUUAACUGUCGUACACCGCUGCCAAGGAGGAGGAGAAGAUCUUAUAAUGUGUUGUUUCUGAAAAACAUGCAGAUAACAAUUAACAAUGACUGAGAGCAAAUUAUUCUAAUGCAAUUUUAUCCAUGUGGACUAAGAUUUACUCUUUCCUUUCCAAUUAUGCUGGCCAUGCAAUUUAGUUCAAUUAGAAAUGAUCCAAGCUCAAUAAAUAUAUCUGUCAACAGUCAAGAAAUUUUGGAUAUAUUUUUUACAAAGGCAUAAAUACAAAAUGAUAGUUUAGUGAUGUGCCUUUAUAUUCGGUGUUUCAACUUUACUAUGACGAAAUUAUCUUGACAUUUUGAAGAAAAAUUA